GUAGUAGAGCCACGUGACACAGUGCUAGGCAAUCCUGAUGUUUACAGAAGACAGGCAGUAGUAGAGCCACGUGAUUAUUACAGACAGGAUGGAUUCCCAGAACGUCGUGAAUAUCAUCAGCCACUGAGUUUGGAAACUAGACUCCGGGAUGAUAUUGGGAUCAAUGAUCCCUACGUGUCAUACCGUGAGCGCGUCGUGGAUAUCAUCAGCCACUGAGUUUGGAAACUAGACUCCGGGAUGAUAUUGGGAUCAAUGAUCCCUAUGUGUCAUACCGUGAGCGUGUAUCAUACCGUGAUCCUGUGAACUCGGCGCGCUCAGAGCCCGAGUAUGACCCCCCUCCUGUGGGUUUGCGAUC
rnacentral:lncRNA from 1 species